rnacentral:rRNA from 1 species
AGAGUUUGAUUAUGGCUCAGGAUGAACGCUAGCUACAGGCUUAACACAUGCAAGUCGAGGGGCAGCAUUGGAGUAGCAAUACUUCAGAUGGCGACCGGCGCACGGGUGAGUAACACGUAUCCAACCUGCCGCUUACUCGGGGAUAGCCUUUCGAAAGAAAGAUUAAUACCCGAUGGUAUAAAGAGUUCGCAUGUUCUCUUUAUUAAAGAAUUUCGGUAAGCGAUGGGGAUGCGUUCCAUUAGAUAGUUGGCGGGUAACGGCCCACCAAGUCUACGAUGGAUAGGGGUUCUGAGAGGAAGGUCCCCCACAUUGGAACUGAGACACGGUCCAAACUCCUACGGGAGGCAGCAGUGAGGAAUAUUGGUCAAUGGACGAGAGUCUGAACCAGCCAAGUAGCGUGAAGGAUGACUGCCCUAUGGGUUGUAAACUUCUUUUAUAAGGGAAUAAAGUGAGGGACGUGUCCCUUUUUGUAUGUACCUUAUGAAUAAGGAUCGGCUAACUCCGUGCCAGCAGCAGC